CGUAGGGCGCAAGCGUUGUCCGGAAUUAUUGGGCGUAAAGAGCUCGUAGGCGGUCUGUCGCGUCGGAUGUGAAAGCCCGGGGCUUAACCCCGGGUCUGCAUUCGAUACGGGCAGACUAGAGUGUGGUAGGGGAGAUCGGAAUUCCUGGUGUAGCGGUGAAAUGCGCAGAUAUCAGGAGGAACACCGGUGGCGAAGGCGGAUCUCUGGGCCAUUACUGACGCUGAGGAGCGAAAGCGUGGGGAGCGAACAGGAUUAGAUACCCUGGUAGUCCACGCCGUAAACGGUGGGAACUAGGUGUUGGCGACAUUCCACGUCGUCGGUGCCGCAGCUAACGCAUUAAGUUCCCCGCCUGGGGAGUACGGCCGCAAGGCUA
rnacentral:rRNA from 1 species